GUGGGGGACUGCGUUCGCGCUCUCC
rnacentral:piRNA from 2 species